rnacentral:rRNA from 1 species
CAGCAGCCGCGGUAAUACGAAGGGUGCAAGCGUUAAUCGGAAUUACUGGGCGUAAAGCGUGCGUAGGCGGUGAGUUAAGUCUGCUGUGAAAUCCCCGGGCUCAACCUGGGAAUUGCAGUGGAUACUGGGUCACUAGAGUGUGGUAGAGGAUAGUGGAAUUUCCGGUGUAGCAGUGAGAUGCGUAGAGAUCGGAAGGAACAUCUGUGGCGAAGGCGACUAUCUGGGCCAACACUGACACUGAGGCACGAAAGCGUGGGGAGCAAACAGGAUUAGAUACCCCUGUAGUCCCUGUCUCUUAUAU